GUGAUAUCUGUGUCUGUCUACCAGUGGAACAGACUUCUGCUUGCACAACAGGACUUCCCCUUUCUCCCUUCUGUAGUUCUUCAUAUCUCAGAUCUGCUGCCCCUGUGGAUCCUGCUGCCUAAGGCACUCACAUCACCUUGCCACAUGGGUGGCCUGGCCCUCUUUGGGCAAAUUGAGCUCCAGAGUACCCCACUUGAGGUCACAGUGUUACCCUUCAAAGGAGAGAUUUGUUUCAUUGUUUUUAGAAGAG